ACGUUUGAUCUUAUGAUUUCCUUAAAAGAUGUUUUAAUAUUAGUGAUAUUUCAUCAUCCAUGAUGGUAACACAACUUAGAAAAAGUGGGAAUCUCAGGGCAUGAUAGGGUUAGUUACACAUCUUCGAAUAAGUUGGGAUCUCGCAGCAUGACAGGGUUUGCAUGAAGAGAGGUUACUGCUGUACAUCAGCAUUGAAGGUCAACAUCAACCUAGAAUGGUGCAUAAGAAUACGAGGGAAAAAAAGGUAGAAACCUUCGAUAUUUGCAUACUGUAUGAUGGUAGGCAUCACAGGCAUACCAAGCUAGAACUGUGCAUUAGAGUACAUGAAACACAGGUAUGAAUAAUAGAUAUUAUAAUAACAUAUGAUGUGUGACAUAGAUUCGCACCACAAAUAAACAAUGAGAUACCAAAAGAAAGAAGAGAUCACUAAUAUUAUUGGUAAGAUCCCAGAUACUCCGUUAGAUCAAGUGAAUCUGCUUGGCAAAUCAAGAUAUCCUGGGCUCAAGUGCAACAAUGGACUUAAGAGCAAUGACCACAGGAACAGCAAUUGCAUUUGAGGAUGCUAAGGUGCACAUUUGCUUCUUUGGCCACUUCUAGCAGGUUAAAUCAAGAUAUCG
rnacentral:lncRNA from 1 species